rnacentral:piRNA from 1 species
UCCCAGUGGCCUGUUCACUUUCCUGAAC